rnacentral:tRNA from 1 species
AGGGAAAUAGCUCAGUGGUAGAGUACGUGCCUAGCAUGUACAAGGUCCUGGAUUCAAUCCCUAGUACCUCCA